GCUUAUUCGCCCUCUGUCUCUCGUUCAUUCUUGCUUUAGUUGAAAUAACUGCUGAUCCGGAGUAAUCUGCUUCGCUCCUCUCCUUUCAGUCGACUCCUUCGGACCCUCUCCCGGUGGUCGAGUUGGAGUUGGUCACCUCUCCCUUUUUCUAGAUUCAGUAAGGGUCGCCGCCCACCCCCUUACCACACUCAUCCUCCCUCUUUACCCUUUUCUAUUAAUCAACAAAAUGUGAAGACCUUUUAUGCCCACCCGCCUAAUGUGCUGAAGUGGCUCAUGAUGAGAGUCUUAUAAUCAAACUAUUCCCAAAGAGCCUUACUGAUCAAGCUAUGGAAUGGUACUUGACUCUCCCCAGGUAUUCAAACUGUAAGGGCGGAUAUAGAGUUGAUAACAUGUGCAGCGGUAAAUUCACACUUUCCUAAUCUCGAUGCAGUUCCUAAUUGAAGAGCUCCCUUUCUAAGAGCGUCUGAUUGAAGAAAAGCCCUUCGUCUCGCCACAACAGAAGCUGUGGUAUAAUCUGUCUAUACCUCACUCGGUUCAGUAAGAUAUGGUUUAAUGUGUGAGGCCUCGCUUCACUAACUGAAGUCGCUUCCUCGUGAACUCCGUUAGCUAGGCGCCCCUCUCCAAGUAGUCAGUCCGUUCUCUCGGGGAGAAAGCCUGACUCUCGUUUAGUUCGAACGUUGCCCGCAGGAGAAAGGGAAAGCCCUGCCUAUAUCCUAUCCUAUAUGCUCGCUUCUUAAUUUCAUCCCUCCACUUAAGUUUACGCAUUAAGAAUGUGCCAAUGGAAAUGCUUUUGCGUCUAUAGCGCUUCUACCCCGUGAGAGUUGCUUGCCAGUCGUAAUGCCUUCUCCUAAGUAAUCCCUUUCCAGCGGUUUUCAUGGUUCUAUUUUCGAGCGAGCUCCAUCAAGUCAAGUUGCAGCAAGUGUGAGAAAGCAAGUGUAAUCUGUCUCUUUCCAGUACUUUCUUUUAUUAGGCUCGGGAUUUGAAGUCAAAAGGGGGUUCUAGGUUAUGUACCAGUUCUUUCCUUUCGGGCAGUUACCUUGAAUGUGGGUCUUGUUGGAUCAAAAAGACUAGACUCUUGGUGCCUUUUGAAUAUCCCCUUACUCAAAGGGAGUGAAGUCCGCCUAUUCAGUUCUAUCGGUAAGCUAAGUCCUCUCCUUGGAAACCAGUUAGAAAGCAACUUUCUUAUUCCUGUGAGAAUGAUAAAGCUAGUCUAUCAGUUUCCAAUGAGCAAGCCAGCCAGUCUAAAAGUGUCUUUCCAAUAGUAGGUAAGCAAAAAGGUAAGCAAGCUUAGGCUAGUAGGCAUCUUAGGCAAUCCAUCCAAUGGGAGAAAGUUUCCAGGCAUUUCAAGUUAAGCGUAUCCUAUUUAAUUGUAAGUUAAAAGGUAAGCCCAUCAAGUUACAGCAAGGGAAAGAGCCAUCCAGUGAGCAAGCGGCAGGUUUUUAUUUUAAUGCGUUAGCACAUUGCGGCAGGAUAGCAGGUUCAACGGGCCUAUCCAUGUAAUAAGACUUCCAGUAAUAACAUUUAUAGUUAAGGGUAAUAUAAGUUCUCCCGGUAAUAAGAUAAGUAUCAUACCUUUAGUUGGAGUUGGCUUCUAUCGAGUUUAAUUUCUUGCGAGCCUGUGCCAAUUGUAGUUGCUUUCCUUUCAGCAGGCAGGGAUUUUAUUGGCAAGUAGGGAGCUAGGUCAAUCUCUUUCUUUUCUUUGCUUUUUUCUAAUGAAAUAAUUUUUCCUAAGGGUAUUUCUUAUU
rnacentral:misc_RNA from 1 species